AGCCUGGCAGAGCGCACUGAAACCAAGGCCAAGGAAGGUGUCCAGUCUGGGGAGCGGGUGGACAGCAGAUUUCACCACCUUCACAAUCCUCCCCAGGGCUGGUCCUCCCCACGGGCCCUGGUGCUGGGGGCAGGGCACAGCUGCAGACCGAGGGAAUGCACAGUGUUGUGCAAAAGGCAGAGCCCCGGCAGGACGGCACGUCCUGGGUUUGCUCCUGGUCCUGCCACGGCUGUGCCUAUCAGCGGUUGGCGAGCGCAUCCGGUAGGCUGUGCGAGCUCUGCGGCCCCCAGCUCAGAGCCGGGAGCGGGGAAGGCUGCUGUCCUUCGGGGGCGGUUGGCUGAAGGAGGGUGGGCGGCGGAGCCAGGGCACCCGCUGCCCCACCCACCGCCGCCACUCCUCCUCCUCCCGGGGGCUCUCCGGUGGCCAAACGCACUUACCCCGCGCUCCGAGCAGCCGCGGAUCAGGCAGAGACGCUCCCGGGCGAGAGUCUGUUGUGCUUACUGUCUGCGGCAAGUCCAGGAGCUGAGCUACACCGGAAAGAGGGCGGAGGAGAGGCACCCCUCGGUGCUGUUUGAUGGUGCAGUGUGCUUCUCAGCCUCCGUCAGAGGCCACGGGCCCCAGCCCUUUAACCCUUUCCUGCCUGUCACCCUCCCCCACCGCGCUGGGGCUUUCCAUUUCCCCAGCCGCUCCGGGAGGAGACUUUCCUCCCCACCGCCCGGGCCUGGCGCCGGGGAGAAGGACCGCAGGUGGGGUGAGGGCAGGCCCCCGGAGCCCGGCAGGAGGAAAGGACGGAGGCAGAAGCUGAACGUGGCGCCCGGCGCUAGGAAGCCGAGCCCAGCAAGGGAGCGUGGUGGGCGGGUGGCCGCUCUCCUCCCUGCCACCGCCGUCCCCGCCUCUCUCCGGCCUCGAGCAGCCCUCUGCAGGGGGACAGAGGCGGCGGGGCGGCAGCCGCCACCCAGCAAGAAGGAGAAAGGAUGCUCUGAGUUCCCAAGUGGCGGUGACGGGCCCAGAGUCCCAGCCACAGAGAGGUCGGGACCCGAGGCUGGGCGGCGGUGGCGGCCAACGGGUGCCCUUUGGGCAUCUGCAGUCCACCGGAGCAGGGAAGUCCAGGUCUUGGCCCACAGUCAACCCAGCAGGUUGGGCAAGUUAACCAAGUGGAGCGCUGCCUGGGAAGACGGAGUUCCCACACCCCGGAGCCCCAGGGACGUCCAGGACCCAGGCCUAGCUGCUCCAGGAGUUGGGUCUGACUCAUCUUCCCAGUGAGCCUGCAGAGGCCCAGGAGCAAACACUGGAACCCAGG
rnacentral:lncRNA from 1 species